GAUGAGGUGGCYGAGUGGUUAAGGUGAUGGACUGCUAAUCCAUUGUGCUCUGGAUGUGUGGGUUUGAAUCCUCUCCUUGUUG
rnacentral:tRNA from 1 species